rnacentral:rRNA from 1 species
AUUACACAAUAUGAAAGCGGGUUGGGACCUCACCUCGGUGAGGGCUCCAGCUUGUCUGAAUUAUUCACCCAUGUCUUUUGCGCACUUCUUGUUUCCUGGGCGGGUUCGCCCGCCACCAGGACCAAACCAUAAACCUUUUUGUAAUUGCAAUCAGCGUCAGUAAACAAUGUAAUUAUUACAACUUUCAACAACGGAUCUCUUGGUUCUGGCAUCGAUGAAGAACGCAGCGAAAUGCGAUACGUAGUGUGAAUUGCAGAAUUCAGUGAAUCAUCGAAUCUUUGAACGCACAUUGCGCCCUUUGGUAUUCCAAAGGGCAUGCCUGUUCGAGCGUCAUUUGUACCCUCAAGCUUUGCUUGGUGUUGGGCGUCUUUGUCUCUCACGAGACUCGCCUUAAAAUGAUUGGCAGCCGACCUACUGGUUUCGGAGCGCAGCACAAUUCUUGCACUUUGAAUCAGCCUUGGUUGAGCAUCCAUCAAGACCACAUUUUUAACUUUUGACCUCGGAUCAGGUAGGGAUACCCGCUGAACUUAAGCAUA